rnacentral:rRNA from 1 species
AUUGAACGCUGGCGGCAGGCCUAACACAUGCAAGUCGAGCGAGUGGCGGACGGGUGAGUAAUGUCUGGGAAACUGCCCGAUGGAGGGGGAUAACUACUGGAAACGGUAGCUAAUACCGCAUACUAUCAGAUGAUCCCAUAUGGGAUUAGCUAGUAGGUGGGGUAAAGGCUCACCUAGGCGACGAUCUCUAGCUGGUCUGAGAGGAUGACCAGCCACACUGGGACUGAGACACGGCCCAGACUCCUACGUGAGGCAGCAGUGGGGAAUAUUGCACAAUGGGCGCAAGCCUGAUGCAGCCAUGCCGCGUGUAUGAAGAAGGCCUUAGGGUUGUAAAGUACUUUCAGCGGGGAGGCGUUACCCGCAGAAGAAGCACCGGCUAACUCCGUGCCAGCAGCCGCGGUAAUAC